rnacentral:rRNA from 1 species
AACGAACGCUGGCGGCAUGCCUAACACAUGCAAGUCGAACGAGACCUUCGGGUCUAGUGGCGCACGGGUGCGUAACGCGUGGGAACCUGCCCUUAGGUUCGGAAUAACUCCCCGAAAGGGGUGCUAAUACCGGAUAAUGUCUUCGGACCAAAGAUUUAUCGCCUUUGGAUGGGCCCGCGUUGGAUUAGCUAGUUGGUAGGGUAAAAGCCUACCAAGGCGACGAUCCAUAGCUGGUCUGAGAGGAUGAUCAGCCACACUGGGACUGAGACACGGCCCAGACUCCUACGGGAGGGAGCAGUGGGGAAUAUUGGACAAUGGGCGAAAGCCUGAUCCAGCAAUGCCGCGUGAGUUAUGAAGGCCUUAGGGUUGUAAAGCUCUUUUACCCGGGAUGAUAAUGACAGUACCGGGAGAAUAAGCUCCGGCUAACUCCGUG